rnacentral:rRNA from 1 species
UACGUAGGGGGCUAGCGUUGUCCGGAAUCAUUGGGCGUAAAGCGCGCGUAGGCGGCCCGGUAAGUCCGCUGUGAAAGUCAAAGGCUCAACCUUUGAAUGUCAGCGGAUACUGCCGGGCUAGAGUCCGGAAGAGGCGAGUGGAAUUCCUGGUGUAGCGGUGGAAUGCGCAGAUAUCAGGAGGAACACCAACGGCGAAGGCAGCUCGCUGGACGGUACUGACGCUGAGGCGCGAAAGCGUGGGGAGCGAACAGG